CAGGCUAGAGAGUUGCAUGGUUUUGUCAAGUAUUAUAUAUUAUCAUGAAAUCAUGCAUGCAUGGCUAAGCACUUAGCUUAUUAUUACAAUAUGUUACAACAAUCGAUCGCCAUAUAAUCUUAGUUCUAGCUUGUGUUCUAUAGUUCACCGAUUGGCAGAGCUUGACCAAUCCUUCCCAGCAGAAUAUGCUCGAGGAACAUUGCCAAGGCCAUUGAGGUAUUCAGCAUUAAGAACAAAAUACCGUAAACCUCCG